rnacentral:rRNA from 1 species
AGCCUGAUCCAGCCAUGCCGCGUGUGUGAAGAAGGUCUUCGGAUUGUAAAGCACUUUAAGUUGGGAGGAAGGGCAGUAAGUUAAUACCUUGCUGUUUUGACGUUACCAACAGAAUAAGCACCGGCUAACUUCRUGCCAGCAGCCGCGGUAAU